CUUCUCGUGUCGUAAAAAAACUUGCUUUUGCAAGUGCUCCUUUCGUCCCACCAAAAGUCACAUUAUUGCCAGUUUUAAUUUUUAAGUUUUUGUCCCGUGUGGAUUUAGACUUGUACUUCGAUAAUUUAACUCUAUUUCGAUCUUUAUGUCUUGGUGUAUUGAAACGUGUAUUUAAACAAUUGAGAUAGUUUUAUUCUUUCUCUUUCCUUCCUAAUGGCGGACACUGGCAAUUUCGGAAAUUCAAGUCCUAACUGCUUCCUUCCUUCCGAUUCUCGCCUUAUCCAUGCUAACCCCUUUCUGAUCCUUCCUCUGAUUCUGAUAUGAUUGAUGAACCUUCCUCUUCGUUAUCUUUUAAAGCUGUUCUCACCGGUAAUUCUCAAGACUGGUCUUUUUUUGAUGAUGAUGUUUUCUUAGAUUGUUUGGAUGAUAAUUUUUCUUUUCUUGACAUCUCCUUUUCUUCUAUUUCUUCUUCUAUGAUGUCUCCUCUUCUUUUAUUUCUUCUCUUCUUGUUUCUUCUGCUUUACGCCGUAGUCUUUCUCCUUUAAUGAGAAAGCCUUGAUUGGUAAGGUUUUUGAAAAACGAGUUGUUUUUUUUCUUUUUUACAAGAGAAAGUAAAUCAAUUUUGGCCACCAUCUUGUUCUCUUCAAAUUCUAGACUUACAUCUUAUUUGUUAGCAUCUGACUCGGCGUCUAGGUCUGAGUCAAUCCCUGAAUCGCGCCGAGUCAGAUGUUAAACUGUUUGUUUUGCAUUUUUUACAAUCUCUGACUCGCUAUCUGACUCGUUUGACACCCCUGAUUCGGGGCCGCUGGACUCAGGUAUGAUAUUACCCCUUACUCGACGCCCCCAACCUCUGAGUCGAAUAAAAUGCCUAAAAAGCCAUCGAUCCUCUAAAAGAAAUCUUUUCUUUGUUUUUCGCUUUUCCUUCUUCAAAGCCAAACAACCCAAAACCUUAGAGAAAUUUUGAAGAUGAUCAAUACUAGGAUGAUGAUGGACCAAUCUAGAGCUUGAAAAUCCAUAGGUCGAAGAUCAAAUGACAGUUAAAAAUGCAGGAGACAAAAUCCUUGAUGAGUUAUGCUUUUAUGUUAAUCAGAAGAGACGCCUUAUCAGCUGUCAAUUGAAUUUUCGAAUUUUCCUUUUUGUAUGGGUAAUUCUCUUUUUCUUGGUUGUUAUAAUCUGUAGAAAUCACGUGUGUUAAAUUAGCGGAUAUAAGAACGUAUUUGUGACUGGAACCAAUAAAUUUUGGUUGAACCCGAAGAGCUUUUAUAGAUGAUAUAUUGAUUGAAGUAUCUGGAUGCAUACUAAUAGGUAACCCAUCCAUUGACACCCAUCAAUUUGUUAAUACUGUUUGUUUAUACUCCUUGAGAUUUUAGUUCUUGUUCACUGCCUGAAUUACAACUUAUCUUUCUAUUCAUAUUGGUUAGUCUGUGUGUAUCCUAUCUAUUUGGACCUUAAUAUCUUUGCUUGAUUAAGUUAUAUUAAUUUGCUAAAUGUGCACUUGUUUAGUCACUAGAUCUUAGUCAAUGGUGCAUAUAUAUAUAUACUUGAGACUUUAGUAGUGUAUUUUUCUCUUCUAUUCGGGGAGUAGGAUAGGUAUAUGCAGGAACAAGAUAAUGAAUGUGGUGGUGACACGAACAAGGUUAUAUCUACAUGCACCUAUUCUCAUGACAUUACUAAAUGAUAUGUAGUCAGACUCUCCUGAUUUUCUUAUCUUUUAAUGGGACAGGGUGAGUUCAGACUUUAUAAAUUUAGACAUGGAUGGGCUCAAGCACCUUCACAUCCAAUUUUAGCUUCUGAUUCAAGCUGGGUUAUGGAAAAUAAAUACUUCGAAUGAAGUUUGUCAUUAAUAAAACUAUUACAAAGAAUUCAAUUUGAAUUUAGCAAUAAUUUCAGCGAAGAACAGAUUCUUUCAUGGAUCACCUUUGCUGGAUACAAUAUGAGCAGCGAGAUAUCGAUAUCGCUUGCAUAUCAAUAAAUAACUUUCUGCGUCACAAUGCAUUAGAUGAAUAGUUGUUUAACAAUAUGAGAACGAGGCAUUUGAGAUGAAUGAGGCACAUGUGGAUGAGGAAAAUGAAUGGGGAAGCUGAACAAAAUACACCUCGUUUAUUUGGAAGACAAGAACAAAUACAUAUGAACACUUUAGUUGAUCAGAUAGCUAAUCUCCUUUAGGUUAUAUUGUUUCUUUAUGGUUUUAGGACUUUAAUAAUUUAUUGGAACAGUUGUGAUGUUAAAGUAAUGAUAAGUGUUCAUGGUCUAAAAUGUGUACAAGGGUAUUUUCUGUCCAA